rnacentral:rRNA from 1 species
CGUACACUCCUACGGGAGGCAGCAGUGAGGAAUAUUGGACAAUGGGUGGAAGCCUGAUCCAGCCAUCCCGCGUGCAGGAAGACGGCCCUAUGGGUUGUAAACUGCUUUUAUCUGGGGAUAAACCUACUUACGUGUAAGUAGCUGAAGGUACCAGAAGAAUAAGCACCGGCUAACUCCGUGCCAGCAGCCGCGGUAAUACGGAGGGUGCAAGCGUUAUCCGGAUUUAUUGGGUUUAAAGGGUCCGUAGGCGGACUGAUAAGUCAGUGGUGAAAUCCGACAGCUUAACUGUCGAACUGCCAUUGAUACUGUUAGUCUUGAGUAAGGUUGAAGUGGCUGGAAUAAGUAGUGUAGCGGUUAAAUGCAUAGAUAUUACUUAGAACACCAAUUGCGAAGGCAGGUCACUAAGUCGUAACUGACGCUGAUGGACGAAAGCGUGGGGAGCGAACAGGAUUAGAAACCCCUGUAGUCCCAUGA